CUCCGGUUGAUCCUGCCGGACCCGACUGCUAUCAGAGUGGGACUAAGCCAUGCGAGUCAACAUAGCAAUAUGUGGCAUACGGCUCAGUAACACGUAGUCAACAUGCCCAGGGGACGUGGAUAACCUCGGGAAACUGAGGAUAAACCGCGAUAAGUCACUACUUCUGGAAUGGGUAAUGACUCAAAUCUACAUGGCCCCUGGAUUGGACUGCGGCCGAUCAGGCUGUUGGUGAGGUAAUGGCCCACCAAACCUGUAACCGGUACGGGCUCUGAGAGGAGGAGCCCGGAGAUGGGCACUGAGACAAGGGCCCAGGCCCUAUGGGGCGCAGCAGGCGCGAAACCUCUGCAAUAGGCGAAAGCCUGACAGGGUUACUCUGAGUGAUUUCCGUUAAGGAGAUCUUUUGGCACCUCUAAAAAUGGUGCAGAAUAAGGGGUGGGCAAGUCUGGUGUCAGCCGCCGCGGUAAUACCAGCACCCCGAGUGGUCGGGACGUUUAUUGGGCCUAAAGCAUCCGUAGCCGGUUCUACAAGUCUUCCGUUAAAUCCACCUGCUUAACAGAUGGGCUGCGGAAGAUACUAUAGAGCUAGGAGGCGGGAGAGGCAAGCGGUACUCGAUGGGUAGGGGUAAAAUCCGUUGAUCCAUUGAAGACCACCAGUGGCGAAGGCGGCUUGCCAGAACGCGCUCGACGGUGAGGGAUGAAAGCUGGGGGAGCAAACCGGAUUAGAUACCCGGGUAGUCCCAGCUGUAAACGAUGCAGACUCGGUGAUGAGUUGGCUUAUUGCUAACUCAGUGCCGCAGGGAAGCCGUUAAGUCUGCCGCCUGGGGAGUACGGUCGCAAGACUGAAACUUAAAGGGAUUGGCGGGGGAGCA
rnacentral:rRNA from 1 species